rnacentral:rRNA from 1 species
CCAACGCAUGAACAGCUGCGGCGAGUGAGCGGCAACAGCUCAAAUUUGAAAUCUGGCCCCUCGGGCCCGAGUUGUAAUUUGUAGAGGAUGCUUUUGGCAAGGUGCCGCCCGAGUUCCCUGGAACGGGACGCCGCAGAGGGUGAGAGCCCCGUCUGGCUGGCCACCGAGCCUCUGUAAAGCUCCUUCGACGAGUCGAGUAGUUUGGGAAUGCUGCUCAAAAUGGGAGGUAUAUGUCUUCUAAAGCUAAAUAUUGGCCAGAGACCGAUAGCGCACAAGUAGAGUGAUCGAAAGAUGAAAAGCACUUUGAAAAGAGGGUUAAACAGUACGUGAAAUUGUUGAAAGGGAAGCGCUCAUGACCAGACUUGGGCUUGGCGAAUCAUCCGGCGUUCUCGCCGGUGCACUUCGCCUCGCUCAGGCCAGCAUCAGUUCGCGCCGGGGGACAAAAGCUUCGGGAAUGUGGCUCCUCCGGGAGUGUUAUAGCCCGUUGCAUAAUACCCUGGUGCGGACUGAGGUUCGCGCAUCUGCAAGGAUGCUGGCGUAAUGGUCAUCAGCGACCCGUCUUGAACACCGGACCCA